rnacentral:rRNA from 1 species
CAGCCGCCGCGGGAACACGUAGGUGGCAAGCGUUGUCCGGAAUUAUUGGGCGUAAAGGGCUCGCAGGCGGUUUCUUAAGUCUGAUGUGAAAGCCCCCGGCUCAACCGGGGAGGGUCAUUGGAAACUGGGAAACUUGAGUGCAGAAGAGGAGGGUGGAAUUCCACGUGUAGCGGUGAAAUGCGUAGAGAUGUGGAGGAACACCAGUGGCGAAGGCGACUCUCUGGUCUGUAACUGACGCUGAGGAGCGAAAGCGUGGGGAGCGAACAGGAUUAGAUACCCCAGUAGUCCCUGUCUCUUAUAC